CCUACGGGUGGCAGCAGUGGGGAAUAUUGGGCAAUGGGCGCAAGCCUGACCCAGCAACGCAGCGUGAAGGAAGAAGGCUUUCGGGUUGUAAACUUCUUUUCUCAGGGACGAAAAACGUGACGGUUCCUGAGCACUAAGCCACGGCUAACUACGUGCCAGCAGCCGCUGUAAUACGUAGGUGGCAAGCGUUAUCCGGAUUUACUGGGUGUACAGGGCGUGUAGGCGGGGAAGCAAGUCAGAUGUGAAAACCACGGGCUCAACCUGUGGCUUGCAUCUGAAACUGUUUUUCUUGAGUACUGGGGAGGCAGGCGGAAUUCCUAGUGUAGCGGUGAAAUGCGUAGAUAUUAGGAGGAACCCCAGUGGCGAAGGCGGUCUGCUGGACAGCAACUGACGCUGAGGCGCGAAAGCGUGGGUAGCAAACAGGAUUAGAUACCCCUGUAGUC
rnacentral:rRNA from 1 species